CCAUGAUGCGACAUCUCCGCUCCGUUCAUCAUGUUGAAACUCCGCAGUCGGCAAAUCAAGCCUUCAAUCCACCUUGUAUUGUGUCAAGAAAGCAAGAACUUGAUUCUGCAUUGGUGGAUAUGAUUGUAAUGGAUGCACAACCAUUUUAAAUUGUUGAAGACAAAGGCUUCAAGGCUUUUGUCAACCUUUUGGACCCAUCCUACAUAAUUCCUAAUAGGAAGGCCUUGAGGACAAUGGUGGAGGAGAAGUACAAAGCCAAAAAAGGAGAAGGCUUUAGAUGUGGUUAGCAGGGCCCUCUGCUGUCAGCCUUACAGCAGACAUGUGGACAUCCAUUAACAUGGACGCUUAC